AUGGUUUGUUAUUCAUUUGUCCUGAAAAUUUUACAAAAUUCCACAAAUCUAGAAGUUCAAAUCUUCACAUUCACUUUAAGAAUAACUAAAACUGUCCAGACCAUCAAGAGUACGCAUAUUCAAAAUAUCAUUGUGAAUCUGAAAGACGUCCCUUUACAGAAGAAAUGCAUAUUAUUUUAUCAUUACAGCAGUGGAGUUGUUGGGCUUACCCAAGUCAAACAAUACAGUUGGACACAAGGUCGAUGGCUUAAAAAGAGUGCUGAAUUGUUGCUACACAUGCUUAAAAAUGCACAAAUUAAUAGUGAAUUUAAGGGUUAGCUGAAUUUAGACAUAGAUUAUCUAGUCAAAGAUAUCCAGCUGAACAAAGCACUCAAGAUACCACCAUACUUACUGACUUUACAGUUCAAUUAACUCAUACAUUAGCUAACUUUGCUACAUUGAGAUGAUUUUUACUAAAAAGAAUAAAUUGUUUCCAAACCAGUAAAGCAGGUUGUACAGAAGAGAAAGACAUCCCAGAAGAAACUGAAGAAACAUAAAUUUAGGGUCUAG
rnacentral:lncRNA from 1 species